AUUGAACGCUGGCGGCAUGCUUUACACAUGCAAGUCGGACGGCAGCACAGAGAAGCUUGCUUCUUGGGUGGCGAGUGGCGAACGGGUGAGUAACAUAUCGGAACGUACCGAGCAGUGGGGGGAUAACUAAUCGAAAGAUUAGCUAAUACCGCAUAUAUUCUGAGGAAGAAGGCAGGGGACCAUUUGGCCUUGCGCUGUUUGAGCGGCCGAUAUCUGAUUAGCUAGUUGGUGGGGUAAAGGCCUACCAAGGCGACGAUCAGUAGCGGUCUGAGAGGAUGAUCCGCCACACUGGGACUGAGACACGGCCCAGACUCCUACGGGAGGCAGCAGUGGGGAAUUUUGGACAAUGGGCGCAAGCCUGAUCCAGCCAUGCCGCGUCUGAAGAAGGGCUUCGGGUUGUAAAGGACUUUUGUCAGGGAAGAAAAGGAUAGGGUU
rnacentral:rRNA from 1 species